rnacentral:rRNA from 1 species
UACAGAGGUCCCAAGCGUUGUUCGGAUUCAUUGGGCGUAAAGGGUGCGUAGGUGGCGCGCUAAGUCAGGUGUGAAAUUUCGGAGCUUAACUCCGAAACUGCAUUUGAUACUGGCGUGCUUGAGGACUGGAGAGGAGACUGGAACUUUACGGUGUAGCAGUGAAAUGCGUAGAGAUCGUAAGGAAGACCAGUGGCGAAGGCGGGUCUCUGGACAGUUCCUGACACUGAGGCACGAAGGCCAGGGGAGCAAACGGG